AGGUCCACCCCAGAGAAUUACCCAACCUCCCUCAGCCGCCGCCUUUUAAUAACAUGGAGCCCCAAACCCCAACCCACUGAAAUGAUCUAGUCUUACAAUUUUUGUAUUUUGUGUAAUCCAGCGUAUUUCAUAAAACGAGGACAUAUUUCAGUCUGUCGCUUUUCUCAUCAGAGCGGAUCGUUUGCCAAAAACAGCCGCUGUGCCCGUCAGCCUGCUAAUAUCACUGCAGCUGUUCAGACCUGUGUGGGUGUCGCACCAGAGACGGCGUUUGAAGAUGACACUGAAAAUGUGAUCGCUGACAGAUUUUAAAAGGAAAACGGUGAAGGGCAGCGUCUUACGUCCUGAGCAGAUGCCACCCAGGGGGUGGGGUCUGGAGGGGGCAACAUAGGCCAGCCCCAGCGUUCCCAUAUCAAAAUCCUGGUACGUGAACAGGUGGGCCAAACACACAGAGGAGGCGUUGUCUGAGAUGUCCAAGCUGAAUUGCUAUUAGACAUAAAGGGAAAAACCUAUUAACAUUACUCUAUGCUGGCAUGUUUAUUUAAAUUUUUAACAUCUCUGAUUCUCACAGAGCAAACUUUGAACAGUUUCUUUGUGUUCCUACCUCCAGAAGUUUCUUCACUUCCCACACUUCUUUUCCUUUCACAGGACUGUCCUCCAUAUUAUAAUGGACCCAGCCAGCAGGCGAUCCGGAGGGAGGCUUCGUCGGCUCCUGGUUAAUAAUGAUCUGAUGACAAAAAACACACUCAGAAUUACUCAUGACGAAAUGUUAGUAAUGAAAAGCUGAACUUUCUGGGAUGAGCAGGUGUGUGUGUGUGUGUGCGUGUGUGUGUGUGUGACUAAAUUAAGAUAAUUAUAGAACAAUCACACACGGAAGGUUGUUAAAAAUAGCAGACCUAUAGCAGCUAUUUGAAUACAUGCUCAAGAGUGAUGAGAUGUUUCCUCUCGCGGUAGCUUAGAGUAAAAACUUUGAGACAUUUAGAGUAAAUAAACUGUAAAAACAAAAAAGGCUAUUUGGCAUUUUAGAAAGGAAAUAAAUGAAAAGCCCAAGUUCCUUCUCAAAAUGCUGUCCACACUCGCUAUUUUCAGCCUUUUAUUCCAAGAGUGACUCUGAAUAAACUAAAGCACUGUACAGAUGUAGGUUUGGGAGAAAAAGGGAGGAAGAGGACAGCACACCUGCUGGAUCUGAACCCCGUAGCCUUUAAAUUCAUCAUUCCAGGUGGUGUUUCUGUAAAUGUCAUCGACUCGAUCGAUCAGCUCAAUCUGCAUCCAAGAUGAACAAAGAUGUUGAAAUAAAACAAAAGGAGAGUUUCUUUAUUAUUAAAUUCUUAUAGAAAAUAGACAUUUAUCAUGUCAGACCAGGUAGUUGAGAGUAACGCUCUCUUGCCCGCGGCCCAUGUGUUUGAAGAAGCGGUAAUCUGCAACCAGCAGCAGGGAGCAGGUGUUCUUCCUGUGGUCGUGGACUUGUCUUUUCUCUCUGUGUUGGUGUUCUACAAAGAAUAAAAAUGUAUCUUCAAACAGA